rnacentral:miRNA from 1 species
GGCGGCGGCGGCGGCGGGUG